rnacentral:lncRNA from 1 species
GGGACGGGAACCCUGGUUUGAGUUGUCCUUGAUGUUUACUACUCAGACCAGAAUAUCUGACUCCAGUUUCUCAAGAUUACAGGUUUGUGAAGUAUACAACAAAGGCUCAUUUCCUUUCAUUGCUUCCAGAGCCGCCCUCCUCCAAAUUCAAAACGGUUUCCAGAUGGGAAGGAAUUCUGCUACCAGUGCACCAAACAGACAUCAGCCAGUCUUGGGAACAACAAGUACAGAAGGUGACCAACGGUGACUUAAAACAAUUCUAAAGUGCCAUUAUGACAAGCAGUAUUCCCCAAGACAGGUACAGUAAUUCUAUGAUGAGAUGAAAAGUUGUUG